CACCACUAGACGCCAGAAGAAGACUGAGUGACACGUCAAAGGCAACCAAGGCAAGGCAAGAAAAGCACGGGCAACACAAACUCGGCUCUGGUGGUUACAUGAAACUUGCUGCACGAAUUGGCUCUAAAUUCAAUAGAGCGCCCACAGAAGAUGACAAGAGAAUUGCCU